GCAAGUCGAGCGGUAGCACAGAGAGCUUGCUCUCGGGUGACGAGCGGCGGACGGGUGAGUAAUGUCUGGGAAACUGCCUGAUGGAGGGGGAUAACUACUGGAAACGGUAGCUAAUACCGCAUAAUGUCGCAAGACCAAAGUGGGGGACCUUCGGGCCUCAUGCCAUCAGAUGUGCCCAGAUGGGAUUAGCUAGUAGGUGGGGUAAUGGCUCACCUAGGCGACGAUCCCUAGCUGGUCUGAGAGGAUGACCAGCCACACUGGAACUGAGACACGGUCCAGACUCCUACGGGAGGCAGCAGUGGGGAAUAUUGCACAAUGGGCGCAAGCCUGAUGCAGCCAUGCCGCGUGUGUGAAGAAGGCCUUCGGGUUGUAAAGCACUUUCAGCGGGGAGGAAGGCGAUAAGGUUAAUAACCUUGUCGAUUGACGUUACCCGCAGAAGAAGCACCGGCUAACUCCGUGCCAGCAGCCGCGGUAAUACGGAGGGUGCAAGCGUUAAUCGGAAUUACUGGGCGUAAAGCGCACGCAGGCGGUCUGUCAAGUCGGAUGUGAAAUCCCCGGGCUCAACCUGGGAACUGCAUUCGAAACUGGCAGGCUAGAGUCUUGUAGAGGGGGGUAGAAUUCCAGGUGUAGCGGUGAAAUGCGUAGAGAUCUGGAGGAAUACCGGUGGCGAAGGCGGCCCCCUGGACAAAGACUGACGCUCAGGUGCGAAAGCGUGGGGAGCAAACAGGAUUAGAUACCCUGGUAGUCCACGCCGUAAACGAUGUCGAUUUGGAGGUUGUGCCCUUGAGGCGUGGCUUCCGGAGCUAACGCGUUAAAUCGACCGCCUGGGGAGUACGGCCGCAAGGUUAAAACUCAAAUGAAUUGACGGGGGCCCGCACAAGCGGUGGAGCAUGUGGUUUAAUUCGAUGCAACGCGAAGAACCUUACCUGGUCUUGACAUCCACAGAACUUUCCAGAGAUGGAUUGGUGCCUUCGGGAACUGUGAGACAGGUGCUGCGAUGGCUUUUCGCAGCUCGUGUUGUGAAAUGUUGGGUUAAGUCCCGCAACGAGCGCAACCCUUAUCCUUUGUUGCCAGCGGUCCGGCCGGGAACUCAAAGGAGACUGCCAGUGAUAAACUGGAGGAAGGUGGGGAUGACGUCAAGUCAUCAUGGCCCUUACGACCAGGGCUACACACGUGCUACAAUGGCAUAUACAAAGAGAAGCGACCUCGCGAGAGCAAGCGGACCUCAUAAAGUAUGUCGUAGUCCGGAUUGGAGUCUGCAACUCGACUCCAUGAAGUCGGAAUCGCUAGUAAUCGUAGAUCAGAAUGCUACGGUGAAUACGUUCCCGGGCCUUGUACACACCGCCCGUCACACCAUGGGAGUGGGUUGCAAAAGAAGUAGGUAGCUUAACCUUCGGGAG
rnacentral:rRNA from 1 species